AUUGAACGCUGGCGACAUGCCUUACACAUGCAAGUCGAACGGCAGCACGGGAGCAAUCCUGGUGGCGAGUGGCGAACGGGUGAGUAAAGUAUCGGAACGUGCCCAGUCGUGGGGGAUAACGUAGCGAAAGUUACGCUAAUACCGCAUACGAUCUAUGGAUGAAAGCGGGGGAUCGCAAGACCUCGCGCGAUUGGAGCGGCCGAAAUCAGAUUAGGUAGUUGGUGGGGUAAAGGCUCACCAAGCCGACGAUCUGUAGCUGGUCUGAGAGGACGACCAGCCUCACUGGGACUGAGACACGGCCCAGACUCCUACGGGAGGCAGCAGUGGGGAAUUUUGGACAAUGGGCGAAAGCCUGAUCCAGCCAUGCCGCGUGCAGGAUGAAGGCCUUCGGGUUGUAAACUGCUUUUGUACGGAACGAAAAGGUUUGGCCUAAUAAGCUGAGCUCAUGACGGUACCGUAAGAAUAAGCACCGGCUAACUACGUGCCAGCCGCCGCGGUAA
rnacentral:rRNA from 1 species